CCACCUCUGGUACCCUCUCCCACCUUUGGACAUUCAUGGCAUAUCCUGGAAAUAUGCCAUAUAUUUUCAAAUGGGAUUCUCCCUUCAACUCUAUGUUGACCAGCGUUGUACAUGUAUGGUGCAUGUCAGCAGUUUAAAUAUGACGUCCACUCGCAAUUGCAGUGGGCACCGUAUCUGCUUUUAUGUCUGGGGUUAAUGUCUGUGAUCAGCAAUAAUGCCAAUCACAGCGAGUG